UGGGGAAUAUUGCACAAUGGGCGCAAGCCUGAUGCAGCAACGCCGCGUGAACGAUGAAGGUCUUCGGAUCGUAAAGUUCUGUUGCAGGGGAAGAUAAUGACGGUACCCUGUGAGGAAGCCCCGGCUAACUACGUGCCAGCAGCCGCGGUAAUACGUAGGGGGCUAGCGUUAUCCGGAUUUACUGGGCGUAAAGGGUGCGUAGGUGGUCUUUCAAGUCGGUGGUUAAAGGCUACGGCUCAACCGUAGUUAGCCUCCGAAACUGGAAGACUUGAGUGCUGGAGAGGAAAGUGGAAUUCCCAGUGUAGCGGUGAAAUGCGUAGAUAUUGGGAGGAACACCAGUAGCGAAGGCGGCUUUCUGGACUGCAACUGACACUGAGGCACGAAAGCGUGGGUAGCAAACAGG
rnacentral:rRNA from 1 species